GGAGGGUAUAGCUCAGUGGUAGAGCAUGUGCCUGGCAUGUACACGGUCCUGGGUUCAAUCCCCAGUACCUCCA
rnacentral:tRNA from 1 species